rnacentral:tmRNA from 1 species
AGGCUGGAACUCGCCGUACCGAUGACCUAUAUGUCCGGCGUCGGCUUGCCGACUAUGGCGAUAAACACGGUUCGGAAUAAGCGUUGCGGACCCGGGGGCAGUGCCCGGCGCCUCCACCAUCAUCCCAUGCGGCCCCUGGGCCGGGCGGGACGUUCGGGGGCGAAACAGCUUCGACGCGCGUAGUAAAGGGAUCGCUUUUGCCCGGCAUUGUACCGCCGUUAUCGGGCUAAUCCUACAAGUGCGAACGAUAACAGCCGUGAGGCUGUCGCACUCGCUGCCUAACAGGUAAGCGCGGUUCGGGGGGCACCGGGCAACAGAAGCCCCCCACU